GGCAGCACGAUGUAGCAAUACAUUGGUGGCGACCGGCGCACGGGUGAGUAACGCGUAUGCAACCUACCUAUCAGAGGGGAAUAACCCGGCGAAAGUCGGACUAAUACCGCAUAAAACAGGGGUUCCACAUGGAAAUAUUUGUUAAAGAAUUAUCGCUGAUAGAUGGGCAUGCGUUCCAUUAGAUAGUUGGUGAGGUAACGGCUCACCAAGUCCACGAUGGAUAGGGGUUCUGAGAGGAAGGUCCCCCACACUGGUACUGAGACACGGACCAGACUCCUACGGGAGGCAGCAGUGAGGAAUAUUGGUCAAUGGGCGAGAGCCUGAACCAGCCAAGUCGCGUGAAGGAUGAAGGAUCUAUGGUUUGUAAACUUCUUUUAUAUGGGAAUAAAGUGAGGAACGUGUUCCUUUUUGUAUGUACCAUAUGAAUAAGCAUCGGCUAACUCCGUGCCAGCAGCCGCGGUAAUACGGAGGAUGCGAGCGUUAUCCGGAUUUAUUGGGUUUAAAGGGUGCGUAGGUGGUUAAUUAAGUCAGCGGUGAAAGUUUGUGGCUCAACCAUAAAAUUGCCGUUGAAACUGGUUGACUUGAGUAUAUUUGAGGUAGGCGGAAUGCGUGGUGUAGCGGUGAAAUGCAUAGAUAUCACGCAGAACUCCGAUUGCGAAGGCAGCUUACUGAACUAUAACUGACACUGAAGCACGAAAGCGUGGGGAUCAAACAGGAUUAGAUACCCUGGUAGUCCACGCAGUAAACGAUGAUUACUAGCUGUUUGCGAUACACAGUAAGCGGCACAGCGAAAGCGUUAAGUAAUCCACCUGGGGAGUACGCCGGCAACGGUGAAACU
rnacentral:rRNA from 1 species